ensembl:lncRNA
AGGACCACUUUCCUCCAUCUUAGAACUCCUGACCCCCCUGUACAAAGUGAAAACCCCCCUGUACAGGUACUAAAACCCCCCUGUACAACACUAAAAAAUUUUACCCUCUAAUUUGUGACUACUUUUACUAUACCAUCUAACAUUCUGUGACUGCUUGUUCCACCCUCAAAGUUGGUAAUUCAUUCCAUGGUUCAAACUCAAAAUCACAGCUGUUUUCAGCUGCUUGCCAGGGUCUAAAAUGCUUCUGACCAAGGCCUGGAACCUCUAAAAAUGUCUGAGGGACAUUUUGGGUUCCGACAUCUCCCCUCUCUGUUUGAACCAGAAACACCUGCUUUACCAUGCUGUUCAAGGUCUUUCGAAUACACACGAAAAUGCAUGGUAGAACAAGCAGAAGAACUACAAGCCCUAUAAGAAUAUAAAAUGCUAUUUUCGAAAGUUCUUUCCACAAUGGUGAGAUAUCAAAAAAGUUAAACAAAUUAUCCCACCAGGACCCUGUAACUCUGUUCAAUUUGCUAAUACUAUUCUGUAUUUGUUUUAUAUUUUCAUGAAUAGAUUUUGAAUGAUCGGACAAGUUCAUGCAGCACAUCCCCUCAAAUUCCUCACAUCCGUGCCCAUGUGUCAGCAGCAAAUAAUCAAUUGCCGCCCUGUUUUGAAGCACUGCUUGCCUUGCACUGUUGAUGUCUGUUAACAUGUCACUCAGUGCAAACGAAAUGGCACGACUGUGUUUACUCAACCAACAUGCUAUAUGAUCCAAUUGUGUCAAUGUUCUGAUGCUGUUUGGGGUGAGAAAAUUGCUAUUGCAAUUCUCUGAGCCUUGUUCCAGGUAGAAACAUCAUCAUCACAAUUUGGACUAUAUUGUUCAAGGGAUCUUUUUUCCCUGUGUGUCUGCUUUUGUAAAGUUUUCAAAUCAGGUGUUAACAAUGAGAGUUCCCCGAUGCUGCAUGGACCGCCCUUGAUUUUUGCAGGGAUAGCAGGCCAAAUUCUGUCCCCGCAAAUGAAAAACAUUCCCUUCGGUAAAGUGGCUGGGUGUUGAAGGGAUGGUUUGCUUGUUAUUUUUGUGUGAUUGCACCAAGAUGAUGCAUUUUUAUAAAAAGGCUGAUUGGGAGUGACAUCUAUUGUAUGAUUAUCUGUCUUUGCCACUCCUGAUGAAUUAAAUUCAAUGCACCAUUUCAUUUUUGUUGAUCCAAAAAUGUCCAAUUCUGGAGGUUCCAAGUGAGCCACAGGAAGGUACUGUGUCCAAACUUGCCAUCCCUCCACAGGAUCCGAAAAAGUUUUCAGAAUCUCUGGAGGGAUGCUUUUUGGAAUUGGCCAUUCCUUCACUGGCACACCUACUAAACAUGUUGAAAAUGGUUUUCCUGGCUUUGAAUGAGUCAGACAAAUGCUGUCUAGACCCGCUGCCUUUGCCAAAGUUUCCCACACAUUUUCCCUUGGUUGUUUCACGGGAAAGUCUGUCCAAUUGCCCAAGGCAAUAGGCAAGAGAAUGAAGCACAUGAACACUAUCUGUCUGAAUCCCAUGUCCAUGUCCCCACCCUCUGUGAGAAACCCUGCAAUGCAGCAACACCCAAACAACACUUGAUUUCCCAGGAAAAGAAACCCCCCAAGUCUCUGGGUGAUCAGUCGUUGUCUGAUGUGACGUCUGCGUCGUCGUCUGCCUUCGUCUGCGUGCUUGCUUCUCUGCUCCUCGGGUCCACGUCCACUUGCGUCUGCACCCGAUAAGGUUUCACGUGCCUCGCCGACACCCACUUCGGUCCUCGCUCUGUGGAAACACAAGCGAAACCCUUGCCCCAAGUUAUUAAUGUAAAUGGACCUUCAAUUUGUCCCGAUUCUGGAUUUCUGAUCAAAACUAAAGGAUUUUCCCUUAGCUUUGCUUGUGUGCUGUUUGUGAAGUGCCUAACAAUUGGUGGAGUGGGUUCUGAGAAAGAACCAUUUAAAAAAUUCAAUACAUACAGAGCUUUGUUCAACCGCAUGUGUGGUGUUGCGCCUGCUUCCCCUCUUUUCUGUUUAUCCAAGAGGGAUUUCAGGGUGUGAUGUGUUCUUUCAAUGAUUGCUUGACCUGAGGGAGAAUAAGGAAUACCAAAAAUGUGUUUGACUCCCCAUUUUUUCAGAAAUUUGUCAAGCACCUUACCUGUGUAAGUUGGACCAUUAUCUGUUUUUAUUUCUUGUGGCACCCCGAGUGAUGCAAAUGCUUGCAAAAAAUGUCUGCAGGCAUGUUCUGCAGUUUCCCCUGUAUGUAGUGAUGCGAAAAUUGCCCCUGAAAAUGUGUCAACUGAAACAUGGAUAUUUUUGAGCUUCCCAAAAGAUGGGUAUUUUGUCACAUCAGCUUGCCACAGCUGAAGACUCUGCAAUCCCCUUGGAUUGACAGCUCCUGUGGAUGCAGGAGGCUGCACAAGCUGACAAUCUGGGCAAGCACUGAUGAUUUCCCUCGCCUGACUUUUAGAAAGGCGGAAGGACUCCAUCAGCGCCUGUGCAUUUUGAUGGAAAAAUGCAUGGCUCAAUUUUGCCUGCUCAAAAAUAUCUGGCAAUGUCUGUGAUAUGGUCAUUGUGAGCCUAUCUGCGUGAGCAUUCCCUUCUGCUAGGAACCCUGGGAGUGAGGAAUGUGCCCUGAUGUGUGCAACAAAAUACUUGUGCUCUCUAUUUUCUAGAAUUGUCCUCAUGCAUAACAAAUAUGAAUAUAAAAUUUCAUUGUCAGUGUGUUUCAAAAGUGAUCCCUCUAAUCGUUUGACCACAUUUGCAACAUAUGCUGAAUCUGUGAUCAGAUUGAGAGGUUCCUGAAACAAUUGAAAAACCCUGACCACUGCUGCCAAUUCCACAAUUUGUGGUGAACCCUGUACUAUUUUUAUGUCUGAUUCCCAUUCCCCUGUUUUUGGAUUUUGCCAUGUGACCACUGAUUUGUGAGUUUUCCCUGAACCAUCAGUGAAUAUUGUCAUCCCUUCCACUGGUUCCUGGCUUAUUUUUGGCUUUUCCCUGAAACUCACUUUUGCAUUUAACAUCCUGUGCGCCGGGAAAUGAACUGUACAAAUCCCUGGAUAUCCUAACAAAGCA